AGUCCUAGUGGGUCUAUUAACUGGAAAUUUCUUCGUACGUUAUCGAUUAGUUAUGCCAAAUUGAGUGAUGAGUUGUUGAAAACCGUUUUGUUGGGUGCUCCAGUUUUGGAGUCUUUAGAGCUGUAUAAGUGUGCUGGGAUUAGGCGCUUGAAUGUUGAAUUGGCGAGUUUGAGGAAGUUAGUGGUAAAUGACAAUUGGGGUGAUCGUGGUGUGUUGGAGAUCUCUGGUCGUAAUUUGCAGUCGUUGCAGAUACUUGGGUUGUUGCAUGAGAAGCAUUGUCGGGUGAGAAAUGUAUCGGGUUUGGUUGAUGUUACCCUCAUGUUUCAGCUAUCGAGUGAUUGUGAAGUGGAGCUUGAUGGGUUUAACUAUGAAGAGUAUCAGGGGAUGUUGAGGGAAAUCCUUGAGAACCUUCCUCAUGUUAAGAAACUCAUGAUCGGGCAGUGGUGUAUUCAGGUGAGGUCUUUUCUGUUUCAACAUUGUAUUUGCAGUUAUAUAAGCUUAUCUUGACAAAUGGGCAUUCAUAUUCACUGUCUAAGAAAAAACUUGCGUAGCAAUUUGAAUCUAGGAAUUGUAGUAUAAUAUGCUGCCAACUUGUCCUUCCUCCUUCACUUACUAGAUAGGCCUCUCUCUUUUCUUGUUACCUUUUUUUCUGGAUUUUCAUGCAGUAUUAGUUUGCUAUAGAAAUCUCUGGAACUCUAAAGAUUGAAUACACAGGGUAUUUGAAUCACUUUUGAUUAUAAUAUUUGUAUAUUUUUUCAAUGACCUGAUAGCCUAAGACCCACAUCCAUUCUUAAGUUAAUGUGAAGAAAAGUUGAAUUAGUUUUAGGAGGAAGUGUUGUUCGUCUGAAGGUCAUGGGUUUGAUUUGUAGGGACAGCCUCAUAGCUUGCAAGGGGAAGGCAGCGCACAUCGACCCUUCCACAAACCCUGUAUGUGUGGGAGCUUGGUGCACUGGGUAUGCCCUUUAGUUUGUGGCCCAAUGAAAGACUUACGUGAAAUCGUGUGACUAAUUCCCAAGUAUUUUUAAUUCUUUUUGAAGACAAUCUUAUUACUAUAGGGUUGUGUAGGUGCUAGUGUUAUGUUGUAAUAUAUUUGGAAUAGAAGCCAUUUGCAUUGUUGUGGACUUACAAGCUGGUAGGAACCCUAUUGGUGAGGAGUACAAUCCAUUGGCUUGGCCAAAGUUUGGACUUGGCCUUAGGAAGAUACAUUAUUUGAUUCCAGAUUCAAAGCAAUGCUGAUUGUACCCUCUUCAAAUUCUACUAAUUCACCUGACAUUACUUCAUUAAGACCAUGAAUAUGAGCAAUACCAUCGCCUCCUUAUAUGUUUGUGCGUGAGUGGGUGCGGGUGCGUGAUAAAUCCAAAACUCGAUUCAAACGAAGCCUCGAUCCAAGGGAGUCUUAGUAUCCGGCUCCUCAACCUAUUUCUACCCAUGAGGAUAUAAGAGUCCACUGAUGGUGUUGUCAAUAUGUGAGAUGAGAGGAUUGCCUUCUCCAAUGUCAAACUGCCAUCAUUUGAUACUCGACACAUGCUUGAAUAGCUGGGACUUCCCUGGGAUAGCAAGCUUGCUACGUUGUUCGUCAGAUUUAGAGACAUUAGUGAUAGACAUUACACCGCCUCGCAGUACAAAGUUUGUGUUUGAUGUGAAAUCUUCUCGGAAGAUUGAUUAAUAUGUGGCGAAAUACCUGGAUUCAAAGAGCAUGAAUUUCGAGAAUUCUUUGCCGAGUCUCAAGACUGUUAAAGUAGUCGGCUUUAAGGCAGAGGGUGGUCGGUCCGACUUUGUGAUUGCACUUGUGGGGUUUCUGCUUAAGAAUGCAAGGGUGUUGGAGAGGAGGGUUUUCUGUGCAUUUAGGCCGGAGGACUUCCAUCCAGUGGGUCCAAGAUUUUUGAACUUCCCCAGAUCCUCAUCUUGUGCAGAGAUUAUAUUUAAAAGCUAGAAAGGUAAUCAUUUCAUGCCUCCCGGGGCAAAAAAAAAUACUACUAGAAUCACUGAUAUACUAAAAGGCCCAUUCCGGAACGUAAAAUAAGUCUUUAUUUUUUAAGAAGGCAAUUUUAAGUUAAAAAAUAAUAGAUUUAUUGAAAUCUAAAAAUAUGUAAUAUGGAUCUAAUUUGAAAUAUCUCGAUGAGAUCUUUUAUACGAUUCAAAAAAAUUUUAAAAAUUAUUUUUUAUUUACUCUAUUUUUUAGUUUGAAAAUGUGAAAUAAGUACUUAUUUUUUAUUUUUUAAGAAGGUGUUCUAGAACAGGACCUAAUUACUCCACUAAUUCUUGUAAUCUUUUCAGUUGUGUGAGGAGUAUUUGAAUUAUUGGUAAGUAAACUGUUCCUUAAUUAUCGAAAGCAUUGUUCGCAAUUAUCAGAAACAGAUCGGAGUAUAUUUGUCUUCCAAUAUAUGGGUUUCGAGGUGACAAUUUGAGUCCAGUAAUAUAUGGUUUCACC